rnacentral:rRNA from 1 species
CUACGGGGCGCACCAGUGAGGAAUAUUGCACAAUGGAGGAAACUCUGAUGCAGCAACGCCGCGUGGAGGAUGACGCAUUUCGGUGUGUAAACUCCUUUUAAGAGGGAAGAUUAUGACGGUACCUCUUGAAUAAGCACCGGCUAACUCCGUGCCAGCAGCCGCGGUAAUACGGAGGGUGCAAGCGUUACUCGGAAUCACUGGGCGUAAAGGGUGCGUAGGCUGACUUUUAAGUCAGGUGUGAAAUCCAAUGGCUUAACCAUUGAACUGCACUUGAAACUGGGAGUCUAGAGUUCAGAAGGGGCAGAUGGAAUUAGUGGUGUAGGGGUAAAAUCCGUAGAUAUCACUAGGAAUAUCAAAAGCGAAGGCGAUCUGCUGGGAUGAUACUGACGCUGAGGCACGAAAGCGUGGGGAGCAAACAGGAUUAGAUACCCCCGUAGUC